rnacentral:rRNA from 1 species
GUGGGGAAUCUUGCGCAAUGGACGAAAGUCUGACGCAGCCAUGCCGCGUGAAUGAUGAAGGUCUUAGGAUUGUAAAGUUCUUUAGCCUGUGACGAUGAUGACGGUAACAGGAGAAUAAGCCCCGGCUAACUUCGUGCCAGCAGCCGCGGUAAUACGAAGGGGGCUAGCGUUGUUCGGAAUUACUGGGCGUAAAGCGCGCGUAGGCGGUUAUGCAAGCCAGAGGUGAAAUGCCUGAGCUCAACUUAGGAAUUGCCUUUGGAACUGCAUGGCUUUGAGGACGAGAGAGGUGAGUGGAAUUCCCAGUGUAGAGGUGAAAUUCGUAGAUAUUGGGAAGAACACCGGUGGCGAAGGCGGCUCACUGGCUCGUUUCUGACGCUGUAGCGCGAAAGCGUGGGGAUCAAACAGGAUUAGAAACCCCAGUAGUCC